rnacentral:lncRNA from 1 species
GCAUCUUAAGCUGAUUAGAAGGGGAAGAACCAGCGUGGGGCUGGACAGUCCGGGACCCAGGUCCAGGGAUGAGGAGAGCACACUGGGGUCUUGACAGGGAAGGGAGGGGCCUGGGGUAUGAUCACAAGAAUGGAAGCCUCGGGAUGAGGGGCGGGAAAUGAGGUCACAUAGGGUUCCCGUUUCCCACCUGCAGCUUGAGGACCAAGUCUGCAGGAGCCAGGCAGUUCCUGGCCCAUGCCCUUGGAGAGGGAGGCGUCUGGGAGCCUCAUCCUUCCCGAGGCCUGGGCGGGGAUGGGGUGGGAACACAGAAGCGCUGACGCCUUCUGAGAAAGGACCCUUCCCAUACUCUUAAUGGGCGUUAGGAUAGGAGCGGCCAUUGGUGGGCAGAGCCAAACCUCCUGCCGUUGAUUGGCUCUCAGAUGAACACGUGACCCAAGCUGGCCAAUCUGCCCUUCCUGAGGGAGGGGCAUGGGCGUGGAAGCCGGCAGAGGGGAGGCGGAGAGCUGCGUUGGGGAGAAGCAAGGGGAAGAGAGGGAGCCAGGCGCCGGCCCUCCCUGAUGCAGAGUCGGAGAGGCCGAGUCCAAACCUCCCCUUGGCGGGAGCUAGCUGCAUAAGUCCCUGUCAUCUGCCGAGCCUCAGUUUCUGCAUCUGCAAAGUGGAGCCAGUAAGCCCUGCCCAGCUGCCCUGCCCCUAGACAGCAGCGAGCAGCGCUGGAGAUGCCGAGCCCAAAAGGCCUUUGCAGCUGUAAAGGGCUGCCUGCCUGUGUGAGAGCUUACUGUCAUUCAUCUUUGAAAGUAACAUGAUGAUGAUGAUGAUGAUGAUGAUGAUGAUGAUAACGGUUGCCACUGUGAAUCAAGCCACACGAAUGCACUCCAGGAAGCCAGGCAUCUUCUUAAUUCUGCAUUUCUUUUUUUAAUCAUCCGUAAGCGACUGAUAGACAGUUGUGUAAAUUACACACAAACCUAACUUUUCAUAUUUCAUAUCAUUCUCUAAGUUGGACACUUGACAGACCGAUAAGUAUCCCAUUAUUCUUGCAAAGUAAUUACUGUCAGGGCCCAGCGUCGGCUGUAUUAGGGGACCAGCUGGUGGGAGCUAGCAGCGCCUCUGGGCCCCCGACAACAGUGAUCCUUCUUAAUUGCAGCCUUAGAACAAAAUAAUUGAGAAUCGCUAAAGGGAAAGCAAUUUAUAAGCAGGAUGAGAAGGCAAACACAUACAGACACCAGGUUGAAUCAUUCAUAGAUCUCAUAGUAGAAGAAACCUGGAGGGAAGUUUCCAGGUCUGGUGCUGUAAUGUUCUACCAGAAAGCUCUGGCUGCUUUGAAUAAAGGGAACCCACUCUAAUGUUCGGAGGAGCGCCGCAGCCUGUGGCAGGAGCUCCUGGGUCACCUGGCGUCCUGGAGGGACCAGUGUUAAGGGUGGCAGCCCCACCCCACCACCUAGAAACCAAAGAGGUCAGCCACUCUUCUAAGUCCCAUCAAGGGUCUCAAGUUUGUUCACGUGAAAAAACACCUGAAAACCACGGUGCAUUUUUUCUCUCCUAAUAUUUUACUAUGAAGAAUUUCAAACAUACAGCAAAGUUGAAAGAAUUUUACAGUGAAUGCCAGGGGACCUGCCCUGUGGGUUCUACCACUAACAUUUUACAAAAUCAAUUUGCAUUUUGAAGAAAUGAUGAUUUGAUGAGCUAUUCAACUUAACAUUCAAAAACUGUGGGUUUUGCAGGUUCAAAUUUAGAUCCAGCGACUUAUGAGCUGUGUGGCCUUAGGCACAUUGCUUAAUGUCUCAGAGACUUGUUUUUCUCUACUACGAAAUGAAAAUAAUUACAUGUACGCCCAGGGGCCAUUGUGAGGACGAAAGGGGGUGAUUAUGUAAACACACAGCACAAGAACUGCUACACAGCAGGUUCCCGAGAAACAGUGCUCUCAUCACAAAUACAGUUGAAGAGGACAUUCUUUAUUCAAUCAACACACAUUUUAUUAGGAACUAGUGUGGACAAGCGGAGGAGGCAGCGAAACUCCAGAAGAGUUUGUAAAAGAAUAGUCUUGAGUGGUCUCAGCGACAUGGCUUAACAAGCAGGACCCAUGCUCACUCAGUCAGGGACACCAGCUGUGACAGGGCACGUCUGCUUGCUCUGGGACCACUUCCUGGACUGUCCCCCCAGGGCCAAUUCAGAUCCAUAUUCAGGACAGUUUGCGUAAUGUGUCUCCCUCCCUGGCUAUGCUCUGCUUACCCGGGUGAUGUCUGAGUGCCAGCAGCAAUUCCUCAUCUCUAGCCACGUUUCCCAGCAUCAUGCAUGCCAGAGAUAGGCUUCGAGAGGCUGCUCAUCUCCAUCCUGGAAGUGGAAUGAGACGGAAAGUGACUCGAAUGACUUUGGAAUUCUUAAGGAAGAAAUAGAACGGCUGCUAUUAGUUCUAUCGUGGUGGAGCGGUUACUAAAGAAAUAAAACUAUAAAAGUAGAAUUUUUAUAAUAUGGCCUGUGGGAACAUGGUGACAAUCACCAAGAUUCUUAAUAAUCACUUUGUUGAAGACCUAUGAGGUGCCAGGAACGCCUCUGUAAUGGUCCCCAACACACACGCGUGUGCGCGCACACACUCACAAUCUCCAUCCUCAGCCCCUCUGCAAGGCCAGCUCAGGGCCAUCUAUCUUAUCCCACAAGGAUGCCCGUCUCAUCCCCUGGCUGGUCCUCUGCUCCCAUCACUACAGAACUGACGGUGGGACCGCCUGUCCUGUGCUCUUUAUAUACCAGCGCGUAUCCACAACUCUCUGCAUGAAUAGCUUUCCCCCCUAAGAUACUGCAUCUGUGACUUUUACAUUUUUUAAAAACUUGUUAUUAUAGAAUUUUAAAAAAUGCUUUAAAGUAUAGAGAAGAGUAUAAAAACCUCUCUUACCCAUCACCCACCUUCAACAAUUGUCGCCUCUCCGCCAGUCUUCUUUCCUCUCUCUCCUCCCUCAACUCCUUUUAUUUUGCAGGACUAUUUUUUUUAAAUAAACUUUAUUUCUUAGAACAGUUUGAGAUUUACAGAAAAACUGAAGAUAGUACAGAGUUCCCAUAUAGCCGGCCCCCAGCUUCUCUAUUAUUAAUUUUUUACAUUGGCAUGGUACAUUUGUUACAAUUAAUGAGCCCGUAUUGAUACAUUAUUGUUAACUAAAAUCCAUGUUUUGGUCUCCUUGGUUUGUACCUAAUGUCCGUUCUCUGUCUCAGGGCCCCGUCCAGGAGCCCACAGUACAUUUGGUCGUCGUGUCGUCUUAGCUCCUCUGGGCAGGGACAGUUUCUCAGACCCCCUUGUUUCAAUGACCUUAACCGUUUCCAGGAGGACCGAGCAGGUGUCUUGUAGGAAGCCCCUCAGCUGGGAUCUGUCUGCUGUUUCUCUCAUGACUAGACUGGGACCAUGGGUCUGGGAGGAGGACCACCGAGGGGAGGAGCCCUUCUCGUCCCAUCCCAGCAGGGCAGGUGCUGUCACCAGGACGGAUCCCUGUGGUGUUGACCUUGGUCACCUGGCUGAGGGGUGGUUGUCAGGCUUCUCACUGUAGCUGCCCCGUCCAUCCUGUCCUCUUCGCAGGUCACUAGGCACAGCCCACCCUCAGGGAGUGGGAGUUAUGCUCCACCGUCCUGAGGACAGAGUGCAGGAGUAUUUUAAAGCAAAUCCCAGACACAGUGUCUCUUCAUAUUUAAAUAUUUUAAGUACUUUUUAAAUAUACAUUUCUAAUGAUGAAGACUUUUUAAAACACCACCAUCCUACCUGUUACACAUAACCGUAUUAACAAUGAUCCCUUAAUAUUUUCUGCUGAGUGACUUAUCUUUCUAAAUCAGCUCAACAGCGUUUAGUAAGAUGGGUGUGAGGACCCUGGGAGAGAUAUAAAGAUAAGGAAGACGAAAUCCUUGCUCCCUCGGGUGGGGAGAUAGGGACCAAAAUAGAAGGCAACUAUUUUCUUAACAAAAGGAACUUUUCAUUUACCAAAAGAUUCACCUUGGGACUCUUUUACAACACCUGCCUCUAGCUUGUGUUCAUGACUUACAGAAAACGGACUCGUCUCACUUCAUCCUUCAAGCCUCAGCCCAAACGUGUCUCCCAGAGUUGGGGCUCCUCCUGGACUCCCAGCGCACAGGGCAUAGACCUCCUUACACAGCUUGGGUUUCAAGUAUGUAAGCACAGACCCCACCUGCUCCCAAGCUGCCUGACCUGAGGUUCCAGACCUGCUCGCCUGGUUCUAGGCAGGGCUCUGGGCCGCUCACAGGCCAGGUGAGCAGAGCCAGGAACGAGAGGCCAGGCAGGACGGGGAGGGGGAGGGACAUGAGCAGGAUACCUGUGCACCAGCUCCUCAGUCUAGGGGAGCACUGUGGGAAGGCUGAGGAGUGUGUAGUGGCCCGAAGGACAACUGCACCCCCCAACUCUAUUUGGUGAAUGAAAUAAAGCUUAAGUUAGAAGGGACAAUUACUCUAUGUAUAGACAAUUGAAUAGUAUCCCCCCAAAAGAUAUGUCCAAGUCCUCACCCCAGGUACCCGGGAACGUAGCCUUAUUUGCAAACAAGGUCUUUGCAGACACGAUUGGUUUGAGGAUCUCAGAAUCAGAUCAUCAUGGAUUUAGAGGGGGCCCUAAAUCCAGGGAAGGGUGUCUUUACAAAAGAAAGAAGAGAGAGAUUUGCCACACAGACCCAGAUGGAAAGGCCAUGCAAAAAUGGAGGCAGAAAACGGGAGUGACAAAUCCACAAGCCGGGGAUCACCAAAGAUUGCCCACAGCCUCCAGAAGCCAGGAGAGAGGUGUGGGAGGGCUCCUCCCUCACAGCGUCCCGAGGGAACCGACCUCGCCUGCAGCCUGGUUUCUGAGCCCUGGCCUCCAGACUGAGAGAGUAGAGACCUGUUCUUUUAAGCCAGCAAGUCUGUGGUAAUUUGUUACAGCAGGAAACUGACCUCGUGUGUGUGUGUGUUUGUACAUAUAUGAGUAUGUCUAUAUUUUUUGAAUUCCCACUCAAUAAUAUAUCUCUCGGUUUAUAUAUUUCUUGGAGAGCAUAGAUAGUGAAUUAAUACUGCUAUUUUCUCAUGUUUUUCAAAACUAAGCCACUCUUGAGUGCGGGUGCACCUGCCUCACACCCCGCCUCCAUCUCAGCCUGGAGGAGAGCAGCCCCCUCUGGGGCACCUGUUCCCCCGGGAAUCACAGCCAGAAGGAAGCACAGAGCACAGAGAACUACCCACCUCAACGCGACCGGUUCAAUGAGCUCAAGCACCCUAGGUGACAGCAAGCAGCACAGAGCUGCAGUGCAGCUGCCUGCCUUUCGGAGACUGAUCCGCGGUGUCCACGGCAAGUUCAGGGGCCACGACUUAAUUACUCAACCUUAUGGAGCAUUAGAAGGCUUCGGCACGUGGUGAGAAAUGUCGCUCUGGCUUGUUCCCUGUUGAUUUUCUGCGGGCACUCAGAGUCCGGUGCUGUGAUUUUAUGAGCCGUCUUCCGGGUGGUGUAUUUGGUGCCACAUGAAAUAAACGCAGGUUUCUUCCUCAUUGGAGCCAGUCGAGGAGUCAUCCUGAAUCCUCUCCCUCCAGCUGCCCUCACCUCCAGGUCCUGCUUCUGCCUGGUGAGUUAUCUCAGCUGAGGCUCCUCCUCCGUCUACCAGAUCUUCCCCACGGCUGCCAGGCUAUCUUUCCAAAACCCAGAUAGUAUGGAGCUCCUCCUGCUCUCGAAUCCUUCGGGGCUCCCACACCAACCUCCUGCUGUGGCUACAGAACCCUUCACGUUUGGGCCCCAACCUUACUUCCUGCCACGCCCCCCACCCACUCUACACAGAACUCAUUGGCUCGGACGUGCAGGCCUCUGAGCCUUUGCACACACAGAUCCCUCCACCUGGAAUAAUACCCUUUCCACCUUCUCUGCCUGGUGAACCCCUCCGACCCAGCAUAAAAUGCCGACUGCUCUAGGAACACGUCCUAAAGAACUGAAAGCAGGGACUUGAGCAGAUAUUUGUGCACACGUGUUCAGAGCAGCGUCGUUCACAAUAGCCAAACGGUGGAAACCACCCAAGUGUCCAUCAACAGACGGAUGGAUAAACGAAAUGUGGGCUAUCCAUACAGUGGACUAUUACUCAUCCAGACUAAAGAUUGAGAUUUCGAUGCUACAACAUAGAGGGACCUCAAAAACAUUAUGCUUAAUGAAGUAAGCCAGACACAGAAGGGCAAAAUAUUAUAUGAUUCUACUUAUAAGAGGUAGCUAGAAUAGGCAAAUUCAUAGAGGCCCAAAGUAGGACAGAGGUUUCC